UGGGGAAUAUUGCACAAUGGGCGCAAGCCUGAUGCAGCCAUGCCGCGUGUGUGAAGAAGGCCUUCGGGUUGUAAAGCACUUUCAGCGGGGAGGAAGGCGUUAAGGUUAAUAACCUUGGCGAUUGACGUUACCCGCAGAAGAAGCACCGGCUAACUCCGUGCCAGCAGCCGCGGUAAUACGGAGGGUGCAAGCGUUAAUCGGAAUUACUGGGCGUAAAGCGCACGCAGGCGGUCUGUCAAGUCGGAUGUGAAAUCCCCGGGCUCAACCUGGGAACUGCAUUCAAAACUGGCAGGCUAGAGUCUUGUAGAGGGGGGUAGAAUUCCAGGUGUAGCGGUGAAAUGCGUAGAGAUCUGGAGGAAUACCGGUGGCGAAGGCGGCCCCCUGGACAAAGAAUGACGCUCAGGUGCGAAAGCGUGGGGAGCAAACAGG
rnacentral:rRNA from 1 species